rnacentral:rRNA from 1 species
UACGUAGGGUGCAAGCGUUGUCCGGAAUUAUUGGGCGUAAAGAGCUCGUAGGCGGUCUGUCACGUCGGCUGUGAAAACCCGAGGCUCAACCUCGGGCCUGCAGUCGAUACGGGCAAACUAGAGUACUACAGGGGAGACUGGAAUUCCUGGUGUAGCGGUGAAAUGCGCAGAUAUCAGGAGGAACACCGGUGGCGAAGGCGGGUCUCUGGGCAGUAACUGACGCUGAGGAGCGAAAGCGUGGGGAGCGAACAGG